rnacentral:rRNA from 1 species
GGCUCAGGAUGAACGCUAGCUACAGGCUUAACACAUGCAAGUCGAGGGGAACGAUAUUGGAAGCUUGCUUCUGAUAGGCGUCGACCGGCGCACGGGUGAGUAACGCGUAUCCAACCUGCCCAUCACUUGGGGAUAACCUUGUGAAAGUAAGACUAAUACCCCAAUGACGUCUCUAGAAGACAUCUGAAAGAGAUUAAAGAUUUAUCGGUGAUGGAUGGGGAUGCGUCUGAUUAGCUUGUUGGCGGGGUAACGGCCCACCAAGGCGACGAUCAGUAGGGGUUCUGAGAGGAAGGUCCCCCACAUUGGAACUGAGACACGGUCCAAACUCCUACGGGAGGCAGCAGUGAGGAAUAUUGGUCAAUGGGCGAGAGCCUGAACCAGCCAAGUAGCGUGCAGGAUGACGGCCCUAUGGGUUGUAAACUGCUUUUAUAAGGGAAUAAAGUGGGAGUCGUGACUCUUUUGCAUGUACCUUAUGAAUAAGGACCGGCUAAUUCCGUG